rnacentral:lncRNA from 1 species
UGGGAGGUUACCAUUCUAUUAGUAAUUGUUGGUUACAUAAAUGAGAGGUUUUAUUGGUGUUAAUGUGGAGUUAGCAAUGGGAAAAAUCUGAAAUGGCUUAAGGGUGCCCUUGGGAGUGACCUAGAAUAAAGUGGUUAAGGGUUAGUAGGAUUGAGAGUUAGUCUCUACUUAAAUGUGUAAGUUUAAGUUAGAAAAAUAAAAAUAAAAUAAACACUUGGAGAGAAAAAUAGAGAGAGAGAGCCACGAGAGUGAGUGGAGAAACACUACAUUAUUCUAGACCAAUCAAGUUGGUGAGAAAAAGAAGAACAUCCUAGUGUUUGGGUGGUAGCCGUGACUUGAGAGAGUCUUAGAGGAGUGAAGACUUGGAGUCUAGUGAAGGGAGGAAACCUAAGAGCCUUUGGAAGCUUGCUUGGAACUAGAGGUAAGGGGUUUAACUUGGAAUAUAACAUGGUGUAUGAUGGGUAGAAGGUUCACAUUAAAAUGUUGUUGCAUGCAUAUUCUUUUUGUGUUGAGAUUAAUGUUAACAUGUUGAUGCACGCACUUUCUUUUUGUACUUAGUUUCAUGUAUUGUUGUAUUGAGAAUAUUUAUUUUCAUGCAUUUUCGAAUUUGGGUUGUGAAGGGAUAUGCUUUGGGGUGUAUAUGUUAGUAUUUUCGUUUUUGGUUAUUAUAAUGGGUAUACAUGUUCAUACCUUAUGAAAUAUGUUGUUGUGGUAAUGGAUAUAUAUGUUGGGUUCUUGGAAUGUUGCAUGUGUAUGAAAAAGUGUCAUGAGUAGACUUAAAAUCUUGUUAUAUUUUAUGCAUCUUGUUUCCUUUUUACAUAGUAUGAAUUAUAAACCUAUGUGGGAUUCUUAUCUACACUCUUUGACCAAGAGUGUGGGUAGGUUGGGAGUGAGUUUCCUCUUCUAUUGUUGGAAGAGAAAGGCAUGGGCUUUGAGAGUGAGAAUUAAUAUUAGCAGAGGUGGAGAUAAAAGAACAUAAAAAGUAAAUGAGUGGAAUGAAUGGGUUGUGGGGCAUGUGGAAUUUGAGGAUGAAAAGUGAAGAAAGAAGUUGGUAGUUUUCUUACGUUGGUAAAAUAGAGAUAAAGGUAAAAGGGUUUAUGCUUUGGUCUUUGGGUGAAGAAAAUAAAAGGGGAAGAAGAGGGAAGGAGUGAAGUAAGUGACGAAAAUAAAUCACUAGUAGAAAAAUAGCUUUUUAUGACGGGUGAAAUUGACUUAUUAUGACGGAGGACCUGGCGUCAUAGUUUUGGGUGUCAUAAUAGGUCUAUGCAUUUUAUGACGGACAGAAAAGUCCAUCAUAAUAGGUCCAGUGUAUUAUGACGGACUUUCUGUUACCUAUCAUAAUAGGGCCAGUGUAUUAUAACAGAUUUUCACUUAUCAGUCAUAAUAUAGCGAAUUUAUUAUAACGCACCUAGAUUUACCUAUCAUAAUAUGUAGUGUUUUAUGAUGAAUAUUUUUUCACCUAUCAUAAUAUGUAGAACAUAUUCAUAAUAUGUAGAACAUAUUAUGACAAGUAAUUGUUCACUUGUCAUAAUAUAUACUUUUCUGAAAUAAGCUUUUAUUACAUACAUUAUUCACCUAUCAUAAAA